UUUAGAUACCGAAUCGCCAAGUAUUUGAAGUACCCAGUAUUGUUUUAGCUGUGUAAACAUGAAAAUAGCCUAAACCUAGUUUCUCCCAUUAGAGUCUAUUUUUGUUCAUUCAUAUUCUCUUUUUGAAAGAGUGCAAACGUCACCCCCAGAAUUUCACAAACAUACUCAUUUACAAACUUGUAGAAGAAACAGAGAGUAUCAGAAUCAUCACCAAGAGGUUUUUUUUUUUAAUCCUACAUUAAAUCACAUAGUUUGCAAUUUAAAUUUACUUAUAUAUUAAGUUGAGCCAUGAAAACCCAAUAUAAAAAGAAUUAUUUUUUACUUCUUUGUAUUGAGUACCAAGUUACUUGAUAGCAAGAGCCCCAGCUAGAUGAUUGAAACAAUUACUGAUUCGUAUAAGAAUUACAUGUGAUAAUUAUGUUGGUUAUGCUUUCUUAAAAGAGUCAGCUCAUGAUCUUUCUGUUACCAGUACUCCAUCACAAAGGAAAGAUAGUCUUAGGAGUCCUUGUCAAUUGUAGAUAGUCCUUUCUGUAUGCCUUCUCAGGAUCAUACCUAGUGAAUAAAGUAUCAUGUGUGUGUAUUAACUUAUGAUAGUAUACUCAGGUACUUAAGUUAUUUGCCUCUGUAAGUUCUUACAUAAGUAUAUUAUAUUAUUAAUUGGAAAUUAUUAAAUUAAAUUAUUAAUUGGAAAUCUGGGGAAAUUAGGCAAAAUUAGUUUAACUUUCAACAUCUUCUUUAGGAGAUUAACAGAUGAUGCAACAGUUUUAGUUCCUGUUACUGUCAGGAGAGUUCUUUCAGAGAGCGAAGGGUGUAGAUACACUCCAGAAGUUAUUGUACAGAAUUUCUGUUCCAUAUGCUUGUGUUACACUGAGAAUAACAUGGGUGGUUUGAAACAUAAAAUGAAAAUAGUAAAAGUUUUAUUAUAAAAUUUUACAUGUGAUUGAACUUAAUAAUUACUUAACAUACUUUCUCUCUGAUAAUUAGAGUAUAAAACUAACAGCUUAAUUUUUACAGUUGGACAAGUCUGCAGCUUUCUUGUGAGGCCCUCAGAUAAUACUCCUGGAGAUUAUUCUCUGUAUUUUCGGACCAAUGAAAAUAUUCAGCGAUUUAAAAUUUGUCCAACACCUAACAACCAGUUUAUGAUGGGAGGCCGCUAUUAUAACAGGUAAAUUAAGCGACAGCUUGUGGUGAAAAUAGUUGGAAUCAAAAUAUACAGAUUUCCUCAAUUUCUGGUAUAAUUGUAAUAGUCUUUUAUGAGAAUGCUUUAAACAGUGUCAAACAUGAUUGUUAAUAACUUUUCAACUCCCAAAUGUCUUGUUGUUUAAUCAAGUAUUUAUGUACAAGCUAUUUGUAUGUAAUUCUCUAGGAGUCAUCUGAUUUUUUUUACAAAUGCCAUUAUGUUAUUGGAUUAUUGUCUCAAGUUGAUACAUUUUGUAUGUCUGAUUUGUUUCUGCUUCUCAACUCCUAGAAAACUUUGUUUCAGGCUCACAGUGAGUCUCACUGCUUGCUUAGGAAAGUGAUUAUAUUAAUACAGUGAUAUGUAAUAUAGAGUGACAGCAUUGUUCUGGAAAGGAGAAAGGGUGAAACAUUUGCUCACUUUGACCGUGUUAUUUCUUCUUUUGGAAGCUGGUAUGAUCUAUUUUUAAAAAUGUAUUUACCUGCUUUUUAAUACUGACCUAAUAUUCCCCACCUCAAUUAGAAUUCCCUAAGUUCUAGUUUGAGUUUCAAAUUCAUAAGCCUCAACAGCUGAUUAUCUGGAAAACAGAAAUUCAAGGAUAAGAUCUUUUGCUCAUCAGAAGUUCAGUGGACAGU
rnacentral:lncRNA from 1 species